rfam:Camelus ferus unplaced genomic scaffold scaffold290, whole genome shotgun sequence.
GAGGGUAUAGCUCGUGGUAGAGUGCCUACCUAGCAUGCAUGAGAUCCUGGGUUCAAUCCCCAGUGCGUCCA